CUCCUCUCCCCUCCCAUGUGUGGAUGGAACAUUUCUUUCUGCAGAGAAAAACAUGUUAUGCACGCAAAUGUUACCCUUGGUUUUGUCUGGGAGUUUUUAUUUGCUCGGACAGAAAAUUGGCUAUGCUGGGUUUAAUAGUAGGAAGCAUGAACAUUCUUUAACACUGUAAGCGGUAAAGCCUCAGUAAAGUGACCAAGAUUUCAUCAGGUGGCUUAAGAAUGAACUUUGCGAUCCUCUCUCAUCAAGAUUACACUGUACCGGCGGUUUCGGAGGUUCCAUUCACCGGUCUGGUACGCAGCGCACGCGGUUCCAGGGCCCAGACACCGCCGUGGCCCUACUGGAAGUUUAAUUAUAGGGCUGGGUAGCGGGCGUGGCUCUCAAACGGGGUGGCGGGAACUUCAUCCUUUUGACAUUCAACAGAAAUGCAGAGAAGCCGUGUGGUAUCCACCCGCAGGACAGAGAGCCCUGGAAUUUGGGGCCUGAUUUUCCCUUCCCUAGAUCCUCCACCUCCGUCUCCAAGGGCUCCCACAGGCCUCUCCGCCUCUGAGAAGCUCCCCCUUUCUUUACCUCUGUCGCUCCCCCUCCAUCUAUCCCCGGACCUUCCUGCCACACCUCCAAAGCCCAACGCCUCGGCCCCCCUUUCCCGUUUCUCCGCAGCCGCCGCCCUCCCGAGGGCCCUAGGAUCCCUGGGAGGAAACGUUCAGCCGGAGCAGAGUUUUGGGAACUGAGCCUUUAGAGAGCAUCGGGCAGUCAGGCGUGGGGGAGGGGCCGGGGUUGCGAGUGCGCCGCUCUUGGAAGGUCGUCGGUAACUCCUUCCCGGCGGCGCUGGAAGCUGGUGCUGACCUCUUAACAAAGAACAGCUUUAUUGAGAUUGAGUUGACACAUGGACACUGUGUGUGAGGUCUUCUUGAAGUUCUUCUAGGAAGAGGAGCUUGACUCUGCGCCCCCAACUUUUGAGCAUGGUCAUCACCUCAUGGCUUGCUUUUGGGCUGAUGAAAUCAAGCAAACAGAAGAACAUUUCGAGGCCAACCCUGUUUGUGGCAAUCAUUUGGUUGGAAGGAAAGAGUCCCUCACCACUGUGUCUCUGCUGGCAGCGAAUGUCAAAGAAAAUCCUCCAUACUCUGCACUUAGAUCACAAUGAGGACUCCUGUGAACAACCUCCACAAACUUAGGACUUGCGGUGGAGUCACACUUUUCUCAUCCUCUAUUCUCAAAAUCUAUGAGUGAAAGAAUAAGCACAUUAACAACAACAACAACAAAAAGAAUAAGCACAUUGAUUAGUCAUUUGGAAAUUCACAAAUAGAGGCUUUACCAUGAAACUUCAAAUUCUGGAUUUAGUAUGCUGCAACAGUUUUCAUGCUUCUCCUCACAUUUUGGGGGAGUCUUUUUUUUUUCCCCCGUCAAUUACUUCUGACACCUUUCCCAGUACAGUGAUGGGACUGCAGUGGAAUGAAAUCAUCUCUCUUGUGUGGGAUUGCGGGAGUGCCAUUAAGAGAAUGUUUCACCACAGACGCUGUGUAGCAACAGCUGCAUGGAUGGAAAAUUCCAGAGUCUUUUUUGUUGCAAUGUUUUCCAUUUUUAUACAUGCAAGGAAAUGUGUGCUUAACUGAACUCAGCUGUUUGAAAAUUUACAGAAAGUAUGAGAUAAUAAAUGCCUUUGCCAUUUAAGCAAUUUUAAGUAAUAGCAGAAAAGAUAUAUUUGGCUUAAAAGAGUUUAUGAAAUAUGUAUUUUGUGACCAGUACUGUGCCAAAAUUAGGGAGGUUUAAAAAGUGGGGUUUUUCUGAUUGAUACAAUGAGAUGGAUAUGUCUGAAAAAAUAUGAAAUUUGUUUUUCUUUUUUUUAAUGUUGAGAAAAAUGGAAGACUGCUAUAGGAUAGUUUCUUGGAUCAUGGAAGUGGUAAGUUUUGAGUUGUACUUUUGAGGAUGGAUAGAGAUUUUAAAAAAAUAUUAAACUCAAAAAAACUCUUAAACUUAGUUUAAUAAGUUUAAACUAAGUUUCUGUGUGUAUUAGAGAAUACAUACAGAAAAAAAGUGUGUGUCUCUAUCUUCAGGUACAGCUUAGUGACUUUUUACAAUGGAGCACACCCAUCUAAUCAGCACCCAGAUCAACAAAAGAACAUUCCUGGCAGCUUGGAAGUCCCCCCACCCCCGUCCCCUUCUGUCACUACCCACCCCCACUUCUUUCAACAGCAUGACUUACUCGUGCUCAUUUCUGUACUUUCUACACAUCAAAUGGUGCAAAAUGCAGGAAGCAUCGAUCAGACAGGAAGCGGUGCUGCUGUUUUGUGUCUGGAGGCCUCAUGAUGUCAGACACACUGCUGUUACUGCGUGUGGUCGCAGAUCAUUUGUUUUCACUGCUGUGUAAUGGUCUGCUGUAUAACUACACUCCAUUUACCCAGUUCCAUUGGUGCUGGGGUUUGUGGUGUUUUCAGUGUGAGGGAAUUGUGAACAAUGCUGUGGUGGAUAUUAAAGUGCAUGUCUUUUGGUGAAAACACGGACACGUUUCUGUUGGGUACGUAUCUACCCAGGAGUAGGAAUGGCUGGUUUUGGUAGGUACCUAGAGAUGGGUUUCCCCAGGUGGUUGUGUCAGUUCACACUCCCGCCAGCAGAGGGCAAUGUCCCAGGCGCUCCCCAGCCUCGCCCUGGGCGGUGUGAGCAGUCAGGGGGACGCAGAGAGAGCCAGCGAAGUCUGCGGGACAUGGACGUCAUGCACAGGAACGGUGGUCAGAUCCGGUGAGCGGCAGUGAGAAAUCAGGCAGCCAGGUAGAGGUGGGGAGGUGCUGGUGGCUGCCUCCUUGACGGCAUCGAGUUGGGCUUGCUCCCAGAGCAGAAGGAGACAGCGAGAACAGCCAAGCUGCAUGCUGGGCCUCUCAGUCAGGGCCUCUGAGGGCUUGCUGUGUUCCAGGCAGAACCCCCUUGUGAAUUAAACAUGAUUCCCACGCUGCAGUUCUUUGCUUCACUCUGCUGCCUGUUUCGCCCCAAAGGUGGGUGCCAUUGGUCCCCACUGCAGAAUGGAGACCUCCUCGUCUGACUGGACAGGAACUUGGGCUGAAGGCCUGCCUGGGGGUGGGCUUUCUUUCUUGUCGCAUUUCUCGCUUGAGGAGACCUGACCACAAGACUCCAGAAAACUGUACAACAGGGUUCUCUAACAGCUUUUAAAAAUAGCUUGGGAUUUUUGACUUUGGAGCUUCCUGCUAUUUCUCUUUGGCAAAAUAUAAUAAUUUUCAGCCUGGCUUAACCUAAAGUACUCCCUGAGCUUGAGAGUGCCCACAUCUCAAGACUCUCUGGGAAGUGUUUUCAGUAUAAUUCUGCCCAAUACCACAGCUUUUAGCCACUUGUGGCAAUUUGAAUUUAAAUUAAUUAAAGUUAAUACAAUCAUUAAUAAUAUAUUAAUAUUUUUUUGACUGUACCCUUGGCAUACGGAAGUUGCCAGGCCAGGGACUGAAUCCAAGCUGCGGCUGCGACCUAUGCCACAGCUGUAGCUAAUGUCAGAUCCUAAACCCACUAAGCUGGGCCAGGGGUUGAACCCACACCUCCGCAGUGACCUGAGCUGCCACAGUGACAACACCAGGUCCUGAAGCUGUUGUGCCAUAGCGGGAACUCCAAUACAUCAAUAAUUAUUCAGUUCUCUGUCAUGCUAACCGCAUGUCUAGUGCUCAGUAACCACACGGGCUGGUGGCUACUGUGUGACCUCAGAACACUUCCAUCACUGCCAACGGUUCUCGUGGGCACUGGACGAGAUGGUACAGUGCUGAGGGAAGGAGUGCGGAUUGGGUUAAAAAUGCACAUGUGCUGUCACAUCCCCUUUUGGUGGUUACUAUAAAAAUGUUUGUUCUUUCAUCAAAGUGGCAUUGCUGCAGCAACAUUAUUUACUCCUGCGUUUUUAAAAAAAUUUGGUCAUGUCUCAUAGAUGUUUCCUGCAUUCUGUUUCUCUCACACAUUAUUAUUAAUUUUUUUUCUGGCUUGAAAUAAAAUCUGGGUGGUUAGGCAUUUCCCACAAAGUCAAAAGCCGUCACGACUUAGUAAUGCGUGUUGAUUUACAGUUCGUGUGCGAACAAAUAACUAGCCUAGAAAAAUGCUGUCUGUAACCGAGGCCUCCUGGCCCCCUCUGCAGCUGGGGGUAGGAUGAGGUCAGCCACAGGCCUGGCCACUCCUUCCUGAGAGCCGGCUGCCCCACACCUCCACUUGGGUCCAGGACAGGAAGCAAAAGUACUUACAGAAGAUUGAACGAGAGCCCUUCGAUUAGAAAGAUACUCGUUAUUUUUGCAUGCCUUGGAGAUUUGCGCAUGUUGUUGAAAAACAAUAAUAUAUUCUGCUCUUCAAGGUAUUUUAUCAGAGUAAAACGAACUUCUGGGGAGCUCAGAUCAAUAAAAAUCAUGACUCCAACAGAAUCCCUUCUCCUUCUUGGAUAUGGAAUUUAUUCCCUUUUGGUUCAGCAUGAAAUGAAAACAAAGUUCCAGAGGUAGACUAGCUGUAUCAUAGGUGUUUUGGCCAUUCAUUCAUCUAAGAGAAUUUAUUGAGUACUUAUUACUAACACUAAAUUUGGUGGAUUUAUUUAAAUUUGGGGAUGCCGUGGUCACCCAAACUGGUGUAUCUCCUGUUCUCAUAGCCCUUACAAAAGGAUGCAAGAAUGUAAAAACUAUGGAGUACCUGUCGUGGUUAACGAAUCUAACUAGGAACCAUGAGGUUGCAGGUUCGA